rnacentral:rRNA from 1 species
AUGCUGCAAGCUCUAAAGCUUCCCCCUGCAACUUACCAGCACAAAAUAUACCCAGGCGGAAAGAAUCGUGUGACAGUGACUUUCAUUUCUACUUUGGAAUUGCUAGAUGGUUCACUUGUCCCGAGUUCUAUACCAGGUGCAAUCUUAGAUAGCUAUGAAGAUGCAGAAGACAGUGCUGCUAUGGAGGCUAUUAGAUUCAUGGAGAAUGCAUAUGGCAAAGAAAUGAGGGGCUACCACUACACCCAUAUCAAGAGGCUAGAAAAUCAAGUGACGCACCUGGUCAAAUGGUUGACUUCAUCCAAUGAGACAAUCAAGAAGCUGCGCAAAACAUGCUACUACGCUGUCAGGUACAUGAACUCAUAUUCUGCCCGGAUAGAAAACACAACAGCUGCUCGCCACCUGAAAGGUCAGGACAACACCAAAGGAGUUAUGAAAACAGCUCUUGCAAGCAUCGAAGGACUGACGCAAAGGCUACGCUACAUUGCUAUGAAGUUUGAGCAGCGCCUUGAAGCAACCAGAAACAGUUUCUGGUAA